CUAGCAGGCCAGCAGACAGAUGUCUAAAUUCAUUUUUGAGAGGUGUGCAGAGAGCAGCGUCCUCAACAUCAGAGGUCCUCAAGUCAUCAUGCGUAACAGAACAACUACCACAGACAUCUUUCCUAAAAGGAUGGGUGGCACAAUGGUCUCACAGGCAGGUGUGGCUCGGUUGCCACUCUGAGUUCAUACCACGAUCGACAAUGAAGACAUGACACUUAACAGGGACCUGUUAGCAGAUGGAGCACAAGAUGAGUUACUUGGGUCCCUGAUAGCUGAAGACCCAAAGAGCAUGCUCAUGAUGAAAUCACUGAUGUUUUUGCCUUUGGAAAUUGUGGCAGCCAUUACAAAGUUUCAAGAGAAGUUGGGAAUUUGAGGAAUCUGUGUCCCAGCAACAAGUCUGAUUACAUAAAUAUAGAUGGCCACAGACAGCUGUGCAGUUGCAGCUGGCAAAGGUCAUCUGACAUAAUAGCUGAUGAAUUCAAGCCCAGUGGAUUUCAUUUGCAAUUUUCAAUUUACGGAGGCCUCCAAGCCCCAUGGUGAUAAAAGCUUCCCCUAUCGUGGCCUGUCACAAACAUCAAGAAACGGCACAAACCCCCAAGAAAGAGAAAAGAGAGAGCGGUGCAUCGUCCCAGUUCCAGAUAAGAACAGUGAGCAGGGCUCCGUGAGGGAAGGUGGAGCUGUGUGUGUGUGUGUGGCUGCUUCCACCGCGAAGAACCAUCAAAUGGCUGCCAGGGAAUAACAUCAUGUUUCUCUGCAGCUUUUGUGUGAAAAUUGCCUUUUAAUCUGCUGCUUGACAUGCCCCCAAACAAAAAUGUGAGUGUCCAUAUGCA